AAGUCAUAACAAGGUCGAUCCUUUCGCUGUUUACACACACGAAGGCCUUGAAAAGUACUAAGGAUGCUAGUUGACCACAAUUGUCAGCGACACUAUCGAAUUGCGGGGACCGCUUGAAGCCCUCUUGACUCAGCUUUUGUAGCGAUAUCAAAGUGAUAGUGACACAAAGAGGGAUUAGCCAAUCCGCAGCCAAGGUUGAUCGCCUUUUUCCUUUACAAGGAAAGGUCCAACAAGGUUCACAGACUAAGUGGUAGUGGGCUCGUGCAAUGAGCAAGAGCUUAAGAUAUAGUCGGAUCCUUUUGUGAAAGCAAAAGGGAACGUUAAUAAAUCGUAACAAAUGUUUCGUAGGUGAACCUGCGGAAGGAUUAUUAGUGAAUUUAUGGGAGUCCCUCUUAACCGGAGAAGGCCCAAACACUAUAUUCAAACACUGUGCAUUCGUCCCUUUUUAACACUUGUGCAUUACCAAAAGUUGAUGUGAAAGAAAGUUGAUAACAAAAUAAAAA
rnacentral:misc_RNA from 1 species